UACGGGGGGGGCAAGCGUUGUUCGGAAUUACUGGGCGUAAAGGGCUCGUAGGCGGCCAACUAAGUCCGACGUGAAAUCCCCGGGCUCAACCCGGGAACUGCGUCCGAUACUGGCAGGCUUGAAUCCGGGAGAGGGAUGCGGAAUUCCAGGUGUAGCGGUGAAAUGCGUAGAUAUCUGGAGGAACACCGGUGGCGAAGGCGGCAUCCUGGACCGGUAUUGACGCUGAGGCGCGAAAGCCAGGGGAGCAAACGGG
rnacentral:rRNA from 1 species